ACUCAUUUUUAUAUUUUUCCGUUAGGCCACAGCCGUUGCAACAUGCCUCCAUACAUUUACAUUUCUGUUAACGAACGCCAUUUCUUAGUGGUUAUCUUAGAAUUAUGUGACACCGUGAAACUUCUAUUCCGAUCGAUUUCGUGUGAUGAACAUUUUCCCAAUAUCAUGUGGCCAUCGGACCGAAACUGAAUGGGAAUUUCCAAACUAAUAGGAUUGGAUAUUUCGUCUCUAAUCACUUUCGACUAGACAUUGCGCUUCAACUGUGCAGAUGAUCGCCAAGAAAUGGCGCGAACUUACCUUCAGAGUUUCUUUGUCAAGUGACCUGAAGUAGCAAGCUACAGUUAGAACCAACAAAACGAGACAGAACCCAAGGACGCUGAACGUGACAAUAAUGUCCACGUCACUAUAAUCAUCGUUUGCCACUCUGAAAAACAAACCAACAACAGAAAAUUUUAUUACACGUCGCUAUGAUCAGCUGUUGUUUACAAACAAAUACACGUGACCAUUGUACAGUGUAUACAUACCUUAUGACAACUCCAAUGGCAAAAGUAAUCAAAAUGAGGAUUUCUAUACAAAUCCACCACAAUAUUUUGUUCUUUGUGAAUACCAUUGUGUGAACCUUUCGCUGUUAUCUUUGGUUUUGUAAGUUGUAAUGUUUGAGCAUGAUUAUAUCACGUUCCAUUUUUAGAUCAGGAAAUCACGUGGUCAAUAUCCGAUAUAUUUAAAUAAAAAAUAGAUGACUAA